AGUCCAUAUUACAAUAUUAAGCUGAAGGAACUACUUGUGGCUGGGAAGCGAUUGAAGCUAAACCCAGGAGUCUUUGAUGGAAAGCAUGGAACAGUUUUGGACAGUGGAACUACAUAUGCGUACCUUCCAGAAGAAGCUUUUCUUGCAUUCAAGCAUGCUAUUAUGAAGGAAGUCCAAUUCCUUAAACAGAUCCAUGGCCCUGAUCCAAAUUACAAUGAUAUUUGUUUUGCUGGUGCUGGAAGGGAUGUUUCUCAACUGCCAAAAGCUUUUCCUGAGGUUAAUAUGGUAUUCAGCAAUGGUCAAAGGUUGUCCCUGUCCCCAGAGAACUACCUUUUCCGGCAUACAAAGGUUAGCGGUGCAUAUUGCUUGGGAAUUUUCCAGAAUGGGAAUGAUCAAACUACUCUGUUAGGAGGAAUUAUAGUACGGAAUACUCUUGUAACUUAUGAUCGGGAGAGUGAUAAGAUCGGUUUUUGGAAAACUAAUUGUUCUGAACU
rnacentral:misc_RNA from 1 species